CUUUGGGCCACCUGGCCUCCCAGCAGGGCCUGGCACUAUGGUGUUCCUACUUGUUCCUGAGACUCCCACUCUCAAGAACCAGAGAAAUUUCUCCUUUGGGAGCCUUUGAAAAGCAAGUUUUGGCCAGGGCCAGGCUCGAACCCACCACCCCUGGUAUAUGAGGCCAGCACCCUACUCCUUGAGCCACAGGUGCCGCCCAUGAAAAGAAUUUUAUGAACAGAAUGCACAACGCUAAUCUCAUAAAAACUUUAAAGCUCAAAGCUCAUAACUUUCAGAGAUUGAGCACACUUUACAGCCCAGUUAGAGCAAUUAAUGUAAGGAGGAGCCAGGCCUGACUGAGGUUCCAGCAAGAGCAUCUGCAAAGAAAGACAAGGACGGCCGAGGCCAUCGUCUAAGGACAGAC